AACAUUGAACUGAAAUAUCUGUCAGAGCUGUCUAUUGGGGAAUCAGAACUUUCAUCCCUUUUCUUAGGAAUCAGAACUUCAGUUAAGGUUAUUUAUCUAUCAGGAAACCUUUCUUUCUGAAACUUUCAUUAAUUUAAUCUUUGAACUUGCAGAGUGAUCAUCUAAACCUGGUCAUCGUACACUUGAAGGAUUUGAGCUCAUUGUGUUCUGUACUUUAAGGAAACUGUUAGAGAACUUCAUCCAAGUUUGUCGUAGUCUGAAGAAUCACAUAGCAUAAUUACUGAUACACUUAAGCAGCUGGAGUCUGCUGUAUUCAGAUUGCGAGAGCUUAAGCUUCAGAGAUGCAGAAGACCCAGGAGCAACAAAAUCGCGCUAAAACCAGCAUACUGGAACCUCUUUUCCACACAACUUCAACAAUGUCAGCAGCAGUGGAGCAAACUCCGCAACCCUUCAUUCUUCGCCUUCAACAAUCCCUCGUCUCCUGCUCCAAGGCAGUUGAAGCUGGUGAUUUUCGUCAAUCGGAAUAAGUAAUUUCUGGGAUUGUUGAGUUUCUCAGCUCAUUUUCUGAUGCUGCUAUUUCAGAUUUUGACGAUAAAGAAACCCAGAACAAUUCAAUCGUUGUUCUCUCUCAUAUUCACUCUUUCCUUUGAAACCCUUCUCUUGAUCAGGUCUACACUCCGAGGAUUGCGCCUUAUGCGAGGAAUUUGAUGUGGUUCGUGAGCAAUGGGCUAAGUUUUUUACCAGCAAGUAUUUAUUAUUGGCUUUAGCGCGCUGGAUCGAGUUGGUUUAGUUGUUAUAGAAUAAAUUUUAUAUUAAAAUGUAUGUUUAUGUUGAAAUUGGAACAUAUAUUUAAAUGUAAUAUGUGCACUUUGGUUUUGGGAUAUAUAGUAUACAAAACUCCAGUUGUUGUUUUUAUAUUUGUUA